rnacentral:lncRNA from 1 species
AAGAGGGCAGCGACCGAUGCUGGAUCCUCCCGACCAUCGAAAAAAAAUUCGAUUAAUUCCCAGUCAGUACCAGCAAGGGAACCCGACAUUCCGUCGGUGAAAGUUUUCAAGCCGGUUAUUGCAUUGUCGGCCCCGAUAACGCUUUUUUUGACUGAAGUGCCGUUUGCUGGAGUCGGGACGACUAGAGACGAAGAUGCUGCGGCAGAACCAUCAGUGGCUCCAUCAAUGGGG